rnacentral:lncRNA from 1 species
CUCCCUGAAGAUGGCUGCAGAGGCCCAGGGCCGCGCUCCGCGAUGCUGACAACGUACCCUGGGCUGCGCCCGGGACUGGAGACGCGGGUCACCUGCCUCCGCGCCGCCUGGUCUCAGCAGUCCGGGGGACGCGCGCUACCAAGAGUGGAGAAUCCGAGUGGGGCGGGCCUAGUCCCGGGGCUGGGAAGAGAUAGUCGCAUGGACUGGGCGCCAAGAAGCCUGCUGAUCGCGCGCGCCCCACGGCCGCCCUGGUGAUGCAGAGGGGUGGCGUGAGAUGCUCGUGGAGCUGCGGCUGGUUCGGAGUGGAUGGGCAGAGUUCCCCUCUGAAAUUUCAUGAAGAUGCGUCUCCCACUCUCCACCGAAGUACUCAACGACCAGCACACGCAUACAAUUUUGAUGGAGUUUUUUGUUUUUUGUUAUGUUUUUUUAGCUCACCAGAAACUCAGAGAGUAAAGAAAUACUGUUAAAGGAAGUUCCUAAACUAGGCAGACAGUAUAACCCUGUGUGGUUUUCUUGGUGCAAGUGUUAGAAACAAAACCGAUACCAAGCAAGGAAGGAGGCCAGCCAACGUCAUUGGUCAACAGGUUGGCCAAUUCUUUCCUUCAUUUAUCCCUCUGAAUGCCUAGGUGCCAGCCUGAGAUAGGCACUGGAUUACCACAGGGGUAAACAAGAGCAGGGCUCCUGCGGUCACAAAGACAGCCUAGUGGGAAAGUUUGUCAUUAACCGAGGAAACAUGCUAUUAAAGGGAUAACUAAAAACUGAACACAGAUCUGUGAGACCCUGACAGCUACAGGGGUUCAGGAUGUAAUCCGGGAAGGUUUGCCUGAAGAAGUGGCAUCUGAGCUGAGACCUGGAGGAUGACAUUAACUAGGCAAGGAGGAAAACCAUGUGCUAAGUGGUCUCCCACAGAAGGGAACAUGAUGUAUUGGAGGAAUUUAAGGAAGGCUAGUGUGGGUAAAGCGCGGAGAACCGCGUGGGGGAUGAUGGGAAGUGGGGCUAAAGGAGGAGGCAGGGGUCAUAUUACUCAGGUUAUUAUAGGCCAGAGGCCUUCAAACACUUUUUGAGAAGGCCCAUAAUGAGAAAAGUUUGAU